CAGUAGCCGCGGGAAUACGAAGGGUGCAAGCGUUACUCGGAAUUACUGGGCGUAAAGCGUGCGUAGGUGGUUGUUUAAGUCCGUUGUGAAAGCCCUGGGCUCAACCUGGGAAUUGCAGUGGAUACUGGGUCACUAGAGUGUGGUAGAGGAUAGUGGAAUUUCCGGUGUAGCAGUGAAAUGCGUAGAGAUCGGAAGGAACAUCUGUGGCGAAGGCGACUAUCUGGGCCAACACUGACACUGAGGCACGAAAGCGUGGGGAGCAAACAGGAUUAGAUACCCCCGUAGUUCCUGUCUCUUAUCC
rnacentral:rRNA from 1 species